AGCGAGUGUGGGAGCUGUGGAGGCCUUGAAAAGAGACCAAGCAGGGAUCUGCAGGUUGAGUCAAACAAUGAGAUUGGUGCAACAACAUGCCAAGACACACCUCAGAUCUUUUACUCAGGCUAACCAGAGACUCUCUUCCUCAUACUCUGCUUUGUUUUCAAGGAAGCUCAGAGAUGAGAUGCCCAAGCAGUCUGAGGAGUCUAUGAGGAAUGUCAUGUACCUCAACUCUUGGGGUCCCAACUAAACAAAUUUGCUUGCUUACAGAGAAUGAUUGUAAAUUGUAGAUAUCUGAUUCUCUGUAACACAUCAGAAGAGAUUAAUUUGAGAACUUGGUCUUGAUAUAUCAUUUGCCCGUUGUUCUUUCUCCUCUUUUCGUGCUUCUUUCCGAUCAUUUACACAGCCAAGGCUACCAAGUAAUUUGAUUUAACGAACAUUUUGAUCAAGCGGCGCAGUCUGCCAAAUUAGCCUUUGAUUCCCAAAUUAGCUUAGAAUUUUGUUUGAACUGUUACAGAUGUGAGUUGAUGUCACUUACUGUUUACAACCUUCACUACGAUUGUAGAAUUGAAGAACAAAGUCCUUGCGCUGAAAUUCUGAACAUCAAUUUCGAAUUUGGUUGAACUUGAUUAAAAGUUUCAUUUGGCAAGACUGAAGGAAGGUUGAUACAAGAAGACCAACUGCACUGUACAGGGUCACUUGUAUUUGAAGGAAGCUACAAGUAAAACAUUGUUAGGUACCUAACACUCUAAUGGUUAGGUGAAAAUGAACAACAAAACCACGGCUAGCUAGUGAAGGAACAAGCUUGUGAAGUAAAAGUGAAACAAACUAAAGCGGUUUAGAAUGAGAAUGAUAAGGACUAAAAACUAGAGCUGAAACUUUGAAGGAGAGGGAGAGGAUGUGCUGCAGUAAGUAGGUAAGUAAGGUGCGCUGCAUCUCUCAGACCACCUUCAAGACCGCCGGCCAGAAUACAAUUAUUUAAAGGCAAAGCAAGUAGCUCUCUUCUUAUCACUCCACCAGUCCACCCACAGAGUUCACCAAAGUCUCAGACCAAAAAAAAAAGUUCACCAAAGUCAAAAACAAUAACAAAUACCACUGCUUUAUCUUUCUCUAAACCCGCCUCAUCCCUCUUCUUCUAUAUAAAGACUUAAAGAACACCUCAUUCUUAUCUACCUCAUCACUUCACUCAAAACAUUCAUAUUCACCAGUGAGAAACCCAAAACACUCAAAACAGAGAAACCAUCAUCAUCAUCAUGAGUACUACUUCAAGAACAAGCAAGGCUAUUGUUGCAGCAAGUGUUGGAGUUGUGGAAGCAUUGAAGGAUCAAGGAAUCUGCAGAUGGAACUCCACCAUUAGAUCCAUUCACCAAGAAGCCAAGACCCAGUUCAGGUCCUUUUCUCAGGCCAACACAAAGUUAUCUUCUUCUUCAACCUCUGCUUUUAGCAGGGUUCGAGAUGAGAAGCUCAAGAAGUCAGAGGAGUCUUUGAGGACUGUCAUGUACUUGAGCUGCUGGGGUCCCAACUAAGAGUCCAACCAAGAACAAGUAUUACAUAUUUAUGGGAGCCAUUGCUGGUUGCAUAGAGCUUGGGCUGAAAAAGAAUGAAACUUUUGGUUCCAUCAAUUAGGCUUUAAUUAGAUGGAAGGAAAUUGUCUAUUGUCUCUGCAAUUGUCUAUGGCCGAAAUGAUGUAGAGUUUUGUUAUAACUAUUAACAUUGUUAUAUAUCUAAUAUCUUUUACAUUUCUGGGAAUUGAUGCCUUGAUCAGUACUAUUUGCUGUUUCUUCUGAGAAUGCAAAGUUAGUUCUAAUGACAAAAGCAUGUUACAAAUCGGAAACACCCAUUUCGGCCACCCAAAUUAGGAACUAAUCUUCAAAAAGAAGAAGAACGUGGAUAAAAUGCUAAAGAUAUCCAAGAAGCUUAAAAAGUGCCUCUCAAAAGUUCACCAGUACUUCAGAGUUUUUGGAGUGAGGCUUCAGCAGUUCACAGCUACAGUCAGCAAUUUCUUCCCCAAGUGAAACCAACAAGAAGAAACUGCACUUAGUUACUACACCCAAAACAAUGCCUAAUGCACUUAGUUACUACACCAGAUCCAUUGAGUAAAAAGUAAAUUUACUCCAAAAACAAACUAAGAUUAAUCGAGGCCUUGAGGGUUUAUAAGAGAAUGGGACAAUUCCCACUAAAAACAAACAAAAACCAACUGGGUUCUUGUCCCGUGCAUACCUAUGGCUUCAAUAAGGGAAACCAUGUGCUUCUCUGCAUUGGUGUAUAGAGACGUGUUGGGUAUAUAGGCAAGCUUGUCGUGAGAGAACUCCAGCUACGAGUGCACUUCGAAACUAAACCACUCUGAAAACCAAUCCCAACUCACCACUAGGCGAAAAACCAGCAGUACCAGCCCAAGGCUUUCUCAAUAUUAUAUGAGCCUCCUCCUAUAUAAAACCAACACCAUCUCACACACCAUUUCAUAUUCUAUAGUUCUCCUACUUGCGGUUAAAGAGAAAAUCGACUAUCUGGAUUAUUGCUCGUUUUAGAUCUUUCAUACCUUACCGAAUAUUUACCAAAUACUUGUGUGGCUGAAUGUUUAAAGUGUAAUUUCAUACUUAUCUAUUAAAUUAUAAGUGUUUACGCGUGGGUUUAUGACCUUUUAUUUUCGUUGGUUAUGGUUCUUGUGUAUGGUUCUCGGUUCUUUCUCGUCAGCCUCAAUUAUUUCAUGACUUGGGUUUCGAUGAUGGAUUGUAUGGUGUUGCUUAGAGGGAGCUUCUUCUCUGGGUCAUGGAUUUCCAUAUAAUUUGUGUAAUUGAAUAUGAUUAGCAUAAGUUACUCAGACAUCAGUGCUCUGAUUUAGCACUCCUCAUCAUAUCACGGUUGGUAACGGCGACGACGACGGUAAUGUUAGCAUGCUUUAGAUAGUGGGUAUGGUAGAUUAGUUGGUAUUGUUGUAUUUAAUUAUUUUUUGUAGGGCAUUCGGUACAUAGUUUAGCAAGCUGUCAAUUUUCUCAUUUUUUUUAGUUUGAUCGACUUGGAGACUCAUGCUAUUUAUUUUUAUUUCGAUACUGUUUUUACGAGUGUUGUAAUUGGGUUUGUCCCUUGAUUAAUGAAAUAUUCAUUUCUCUUAAAAAAAACAAAAAACAAACAAACCCUGAGGUAGUGGUUCAAAUUUCUCAAUACAUCCGUUGCAAGUUUAUAUAUGAAUUCUCUAGGUUGUUCUACAAGAAACGAGUCAUAGAUCAAUUAUUAAUUAACAUUGCCGGUAAAUGAAGAUGGGACAUAAUUAUCACUCUAAAUAUGACAUACAACAUUAUAGUUGGUUUAUACUAAAAUUAGGUCAAGGUCACAACUAUGUACUAAUGUAAUAGUGUUUAUAAACAAAAUAUGAAAGUUUAGAACAAGAAUAAAUCAGAUAUUAUUUUAAUUAGUUAAACAAUUCUGUUAUGAGUCGAACUCACAGGUCAUCAUGAUUACCCAAUAAUAAAUAAAAAUGUAUGUCACUUAAAACAUAUGGCGUGCCACUUAGAACAUACGGUACUGACAAAAUAAGUCGGAUAUUGUAUGGUAGAUUCUUUCUAAUAUUAAAAAACCUAAAAAAAAAAACCAUGUGUUUCUCCUGUUAUUUGGCCUUAUCCCACAGCCCACUUUUCUUGGGAAACUAACUACACACGAGUGGUUUUCACUCCCAGACCGCGGGCCUCUGUAUAUUUGUUUAGAGCAAAACCAUCAAAACAAAUACCAGUGGCUCCUCUAGCUCUUCCCUCUUCUAUAUAAUGAUCACCUCCUUCUGAAACCAUUCAAACCCAAACCCUCAAAUCAUUCAAAAUCACCUGUAAGAAAUCCCAAACCUUAAAGAGAGGAUCACUGCUUCUAUCAUAAAGAGAAAUUCAUCAUCAGUUCAUCACCAUCAUGAGUACUACUUCAAGAGCAAGCAAGGCCGUUGUGGCAGCAAGUGUUGGAGUUGUGGAGGCAUUGAAGGACCAAGGCAUUUGCAGAUGGAACACACCCACCAUAAGAUCCGUGCAUCAGCAAGCCAAGAACCAUUUCAGGUCAUUUUCUCAGGUCAACAAGAACAAGCUCUCCUCUUCUUCAACUUCAGCUUUGAGCAAAGUCAGGGAUGAGAAGCACAAGAAGUCAGAGGAGUCUUUGAGGACUGUCAUGUACUUAAGCUGCUGGGGUCCCAACUAGUUCAAUUAUUCAAGCUACCACUUGAUUACUUUGGCUUGGGCUGAACAAGAUUCAAACUUGUCAAUCGAUUGCUCUGGCUUGUGAUCAAAUAGAAGGAAAUUGAUCAUAGACGUCUCUGCAAUUAUUGUAGCAAAUUACUGUAGAUUUGCUGUAGACAUGCUCUGUACUAUUAACUUCGAUGGAGAGUUUAUAAUUUCAAUGAAAAAAGCAUAUAUGGCAAAUCAAAAACCCUUUGGCAAUCCUAUUCUAAGUCACAGCACCCUGUUCCUGAUUGUAGAAGGAAAAGAUUAACGGUCGAGGUGAUGAAAUUCAGAUUGCUCAAGAGAUAUAAGAUAUAUAUUAAGAAAGGCUUCUUGAUGGAAUCAAGGCCUCUUCAAAAUUCCAACUUGUACUUUUUCUUUUGAAGAAGAAGGCCGCAGCUCAGAGUUGCACGACUCACCCUUCAUUCCAAAUCUGCUUUUGCAAGUUUCACCUAGAAAAGUUGCAGCUUCUUCAUCAGAUUGAAACAUCAAAGUUAUAGCUAAUUAGGCUUCUCAUAAUCGAGUUGCACUGACCAGAAAUCAACAACUCGAUCUGUGAAUACUUAACUGGCACUAUGAAAGUUGUCCUUGAUUCAGAUUAUACAGUAAUUGCAUCACCAAUAAGUUUCCUAAUCCUAACGAGGAAGAAAACAAACGAAAACUAGUGGGGUUCUUGUCCCAUUUCUGAGGCUCAGUUUGGAUUUUAUAAGGAAAACCAUGUGCUCCUCUGCAGCAUUUUACAGACGUGUAGGGUAUAUAGGCAAGCUUGUCAUAAGCGAGACUACGUGUGUACAAGAAAUCGUAUGACUCACCACUAAGCUCAAACCAGCAGCAGCUACAGAGCCUCCAGCGCAUGGUUUCUUCAAUACCUUAUUUACUUCAUUCUACAACUUGUACUCUUACUCCCUCUAUAAAAGCAAGACCAUCUCACCAUGUUUGCACAAGCAUCCUUCAAAGCUUUGCUUGAUUAGCAUCAUACAAGAGCAUCAAACUUUUGAUUCCAUUUAGAAGAUCAAGAUCAUCAACAAUAUGAGUUCUUCAUCAUCAGUAGCAAACAGGGCUUGGAUGGUAGCAGCGAGUGUGGGAGCUGUGGAGGCCUUGAAAAGAGACCAAGGGAUCUGCAGGUUGAGUCAAACAAUGAGAUUGGUGCAACAACAUGCCAAGACCCACCUCAGAUCUCUUUCUCAGGCGAACCAGAGACUCUCUUCCUCAUACUCUGCUUUGUUUUCAAGGAAACUCAGAGAUGAGAUGCUGAACCAGUCUGAGGAGUCUAUGAGGAAUGUCAUGUACCUCAACUCUUGGGGUCCCAACUAACCAAGUCUGCUUGUUUUACAGAGAAUGCAUGAUUGUAAUUAGAUUGUAGAUUUCUAAUUCUCUGUAAUACAUGGAAGAAAUUAAUACGAGACUCGAUCCAUUUUGGCAUAUUAUCAUUAGCCCUCUUGCAACCCAAAGCAUCACUGGUCCUCUUACUCAGGUUUUCUAAUUUUAACUUCUUACCAUUAGAUUUUCUCUAUCCUAAUCUUUAGCCCGAGAAGAGUUAAAAAAAGGUGCUUCUAAAUGUACCCAGCAAAUUGCUAGUUACACUCAAUAUUUCAAUUUUUAUCAUAUUUUUUUCUAUUUUGUCCCUAUGUCUAUUUACACCCAGCAAGUCUUCUUCAAAAAAUCAAACACAAGCACCCAACACCUCUCUCUCUCUCUUCCAUUAUCAGAAGUUUGUUUCAAGCACAAUAUAAAGAUCAAGAGCAAACUAUUUAUUAUGAUUAUUGUUUAUAAAUUUGACCUUAAAACUUCAUAUUAAAUUGGAAAACAAAGAGAUCGUGAUUGAAUUCUAGUAAAGAGCAAUUGAUUGAACCAUUGAGGGUAAAUGUAUAAAGAGAAGAUAAAUAAAUGGUGUGAGAGAAGAACAUUAGUGGAGAGGAUCGGAAAUCUAGGUUUAUCCAUUCUGGGUUCUUCCUAUUGUUUUAUCAAACCUGGGUUCAUCAUAUUGCUCAUUUCAUGAUUAUUGUUUCUCCUUAAUCGACUCAACUUAUAAUUAUCUAUCAAAGAUUUUCAUUGUGCUUCAAAGCUAUACAGUUAUUUUUGAUAUCAGAAGAACAAUGAGGGCAAAAACCAUCGAAGAUCGGAGGAUCGGAAAGUUCCUGAAAAUGUCGAAGGAAAAAACUGCAGUUUUUAAUUCAUCUUUGUUUGUUUUUAGAUAAGGGUAAAAUUGGCCAAAACACUAAUACGGGGUACAUUUAGUAAUUAGCUGAGUACAUUUAGCAACACCCUUAAAAAAUAACCAGUGGAUUUCCUCCGAUACCUGAGGCUUUGAUGGAUUUAAUAAGGAAACCUGUGUAGUGAAGUAACCGAGCGGUGACACUUGGCAAUGAUGACGUUGAAACCAAACUCACCCUCAAGUAAAACCAUUGCCUGCAGCUCAUGG
rnacentral:lncRNA from 1 species